rnacentral:rRNA from 1 species
AUUGAACGCUGGCGGCAGGCCUAACACAUGCAAGUCGAGCGAGCGGCGGACGGGUGCGUAAUGUUUGGGAAACUGCCUGAUGGAUGGGGAUAACUACUGGAAACGGUAGCUAAUACCGCAUACCAUCAGCUUUGCCCAGUGGGGAUUAGCUAGUAGGUGGGGUAAUGGCUCACCUAGGCGACGAUCCCUAGCUGGUCUGAGAGGAUGACCAGCCAAACUGGAACUGAGACACGGUCCAGACUCCUACGGGAGGCAGCAGUGGGGAAUAUUGCACAAUGGGCGAAAGCCUGAUGCAGCAACGCCGCGUGUAUGAAGAAGGCCUUCGGGUUGUAAAGUACUGUCAGCGAGGAGGCGUUACUCAAAGAAGAAGCAACGGCUAACUCCGUGCCAGCCGCCGCGGUAAUUC